rnacentral:sRNA from 1 species
AGUGGCUUUACCAUCCUGCCCUGCACGCGCUACUCCAUGGAGACCAACGGGGCCAAGAUCGUGUCCACUCGUGCUUGAGCUGCGGGAGGCAGAUGAGGGGCUGCUGAGGGCCGGUGAGAAUGACUUCAGCAUCAUGUACUCAACCCGCAAGCGGAGUGCUCAGCUGUGGCUGGGCCCAGCCGCCUUCAUCAACCAUGACUGCAAACCCAACUGCAAGUUUGUGCCUGCAGAUGGGAACGCAGCCUGCGUGAAGGUGCUCCGGGACAUUGAGCCUGGGGACGAGGUGACAUGCUUCUACGGCGAGGGCUUCUUCGGCGAGAAGAAUGAGCACUGUGAAUGCCACACCUGUGAGAGGAAAGGUGAAGGAGCUUUCCGAACCAGGCCUAGGGAGCCCACGUUGCCACCACGGCCCCUGGACAAGUACCAGCUGCGUGAGACCAAGCGGCGGCUGCAGCAAGGCCUGG